rnacentral:rRNA from 1 species
AUUGAACGCUGGCGGCAGGCCUAACACAUGCAAGUCGAACGAGUGGCGGACGGGUGAGUAAUGCUUGGGAAACUGGCCGAUGGAGGGGGAUAACUACGGGAAACGGUAGCCAAUACCGCAUACCAUAGGAUGAGCCCAAGUGGGAGUAGGUAGUUGGUGGGGUAACGGCUCACCAAGCAGACGAUCCCUAGCUGGUCUGAGAGGAUGAGCAGGCACACUGUGACUGAGACACGGCCCAGACUACUACGGGAGGCAGCAGUGGGGAAUAUUGGGCAAUGGGGGCAAGCCUGAUGCAGCCAUGCCGCGUGAAUGAAGAAGGCGUUCGGAUUGUAAAGUUCUUUCAGGGGGGAGGCGUUACCUACAGAAGAAGCACCGGCUAACUACGUGCCAGCAGCCGCGGUAAUAC